AUGGGGCUGGGCGGGGGCGGUGCGCGCGGGGGAGCUGCGGCCGCCCCACUGCGGACCCGCCGCCCCUGCCCGCAGCGCCCGCGCACGAAUAAGCACCGGAGCCCCCGGCUCCGCGGCCGCCCCCGCCCGGGCUCCGCAGCCUCCCUGCCCCCACGCCGCUCCCGGGGCGCCGGGCCAGCGGCGGGGCAGCGGCGGGGCAGCGGCGAGGCAGCGGCGUCCUCCCGGCCCGGGCCCGCGCCCCUCCUCCUGCCCUCCCGCCGCCCGGGAGCCCGCCCGGAGGCAGCCCCAGUGAGUUGGCAUCUUCCAGCCCGCCCCCCCCCCGCAUCUACCUACCUCCCGCGGGUCAGGGGGUGGGGGCGCCGGGGUCCCGUCCUCCUCCCGCUCCUCGGCGGCCGGGCGGGUGGGCCGGGAGGCGACUCCGCGGGGCUGUCCGCGGCUGGGGCCGGGGCUCACAGGACGGGACCGGUGGGCGCUGCUGCGCGGGGCUGCGCGCUCGCUCCGGGCGGAGAGGCGGCCGAGGGAGGGACUGGAGGAAUCCGCAGCCUGCACGGCGACAGCUGCACUGAUUCCGGGGGCUGGGCGGGAGCGCGGGGCGGGGGGAGAGGGGGAGGGCGCAGGCCGGGAGGGGGCGAGGGGCGGGGAGAGGCGGCGCGGACGCCGGGAGCGCGCAGCCCGGCGCGCGCCCCGCUCCCUCCCGCACGCCCUGCGCGCUCCGCUCGGCUCGCCGCGGCGCCCCCGCUCGGCGCCGCCCGGAGCCCCGCAGCGCCCCCCCGCGCCCUCCGCCCCCCGCGCCUGCUGCGCGCGCUGGCCGAGCUCGGGCGCUGCCCCGGCCCGCCGCCCGCCGCCGACCUCGCCCUCGCCCUCGCCCUCCGCGGGGGGACCCAGCGGGGCUGCUGGCCUAGGCUGGGUGGGCACCGCCACCGCCGCCGCCGCUACCCGGGCCCAGGGACAAUGGGGGCUUUGUCCCCGCGGCCGGCGAGGGCCAAUUUCACGUUUAAUUUGAGGCUAAUUUGA
rnacentral:lncRNA from 1 species